rnacentral:rRNA from 1 species
ACCUACGGGGGGCAGCAGUGAGGAAUAUUGGUCAAUGGUCGGGAGACUGAACCAGCCAAGCCGCGUGAGGGAGGAAGGUACAGAGUAUCGUAAACCCCUUUUGUCAGGGAACAAAGGCGGGGACGUGUCCCCGGAUGAGUGUACCUGAAGAAAAAGCAUCGGCUAACUCCGUGCUAGCAGCCGCGGUAAUACGGAGGAUGCGAGCGUUAUCCGGAUUUAUUGGGUUUAAAGGGUGCGCAGGCGGUCUGUUAAGUCAGCGGUCAAAGCCCGGGGCUCAACCCCGGCCCGCCGUUGAAACUGGCAGG